CUUGAUGUUCAUUGGUGUGUGUACAUGUUUAUGUGUGUUGAAUGUGUACUGCUUGUAGGUUAUCUUGAUAGAGGGGUAGGUAAUGUUAGUACUUGAUGUUCAUUGGUGUGUGUACAUGUUUAUGUGUGUUGAAUGUGUACUGCUUGUAGGUUAUCUUGAUAGAGGGGUAGUUAAUGUUAGUACUUGAUGUUCAUUGGUGUGUGUACAUGUUUAUGUGUGUUGAAUGUGUACUGCUUGUAGGUUAUCUUGAUAGAGGGGUAGUUAAUGUUAGUACUUGAUGUUCAUUGGUGUGUGGGUGGUUUUGCCUGAGGACUGUACAGUGCUACUAUGUUACAUUCUCUGACCGUUGCUUGUUAAUUCCUCUUUGGAUUCACAACACCCCUUUAUGGUAGAAUGGAGUAGGAGGUGUAGUGAGAGAUGCUGUAACUUCAUGUUCUGACCCUGACAGUUUUGUACUACUGUAAAUUAUACAACGGGUGCUUCUAAUCCUGAAUGCUGAUUGGUUAAAUCCGCAUUCUAG
ensembl:lncRNA